GACGAACGCUGGCGGCGUGCUUAACACAUGCAAGUCGAACGGAAAGGCCCUGCUGUUGUGGGGUGCUCGAGUGGCGAACGGGUGAGUAACACGUGAGUAACCUGCCCUUGACUUUGGGAUAACUUCAGGAAACUGGGGCUAAUACCGGAUAGGAGCUCCUGCUGCAUGGUGGGGGUUGGAAAGUUUCGGCGGUUGGGGAUGGACUCGCGGCUUAUCAGCUUGUUGGUGGGGUAGUGGCUUACCAAGGCUUUGACGGGUAGCCGGCCUGAGAGGGUGACCGGCCACAUUGGGACUGAGAUACGGCCCAGACUCAUACGGGAGGCAGGAGUGGAGACUAUUGGACAAAGGGCGGAGGCCUGAAGGAGGAACGCCGGGUGCGGGAUGACGGCCUUCGGGUGGUAAACCGCUUUCGCCUGUGACGAAGCGUGAGUGACGGUAAUGGGUAAAGAAGCACCGGCUAACUACGG
rnacentral:rRNA from 1 species